CAUAUAAAAAAAAGACAACUCUGUUCCGCAGAGUAGCUGUUGACAUUAUAGUUGCGCAGGCACUUUGUUGACUCUAGAGAACCUCGGGCCAAUCGCACAUCCCCAUGGCGACGACUUUGCAUGCAGAUGUCAUCCAUAUCAACUUUCGAUGCCAGUUUCUGCGCCUACCAUGGUGACCACGGGAAAUGGGGAGUCAGAGUUCCAUUCCGUACAGGGACCCUGAGAAACGGCUACCACAUGCAAGGAAGGCAG